UGUCGGCAUGGAAUGGUCCGGAGAUGGCCGUGCAAGCAAUGGAAGCCAGAGUCUCCCCGCGAGAGUUGAUGGAAUGGGAGACGUGCUUGCAGGAGCCAUCGUCCUUGUUGCCGUCGACGUUGACCCCCUCCGUGUUGCAGCGAGUCACAACAACAGCGGGAAACAGAAAUGACUACAUAAGAAGGCAUGGAAUGCAACAUGCACAUUAGGGUCACUCCCUAAGUUGCAGGUACAGGUUAUGCGAUGUUCAUGACGCGAGAGCGAUGCUUGCUUGUCUUGGA